rnacentral:rRNA from 1 species
AUUGAACGCUGGCGGCAUGCUUUACACAUGCAAGUCGAACGGUAACAGGCCGCAAGGUGCUGACGAGUGGCGAACGGGUGAGUAAUGCAUCGGAACGUGCCCAGUCGUGGGGGAUAACGCAGCGAAAGCUGUGCUAAUACCGCAUACGAUCUAUGGAUGAAAGCGGGGGACCGUAAGGCCUCGCGCGAUUGGAGCGGCCGAUGUCAGAUUAGCUAGUUGGUGGGGUAAAGGCCCACCAAGGCGACGAUCUGUAGCUGGUCUGAGAGGACGACCAGCCACACUGGGACUGAGACACGGCCCAGACUCCUACGGGAGGCAGCAGUGGGGAAUUUUGGACAAUGGGCGCAAGCCUGAUCCAGCAAUGCCACGUGCAGGAAGAAGGCCUUCGGGUUGUAAACUGCUUUUGUACGGAACGAAACGGCCUGGGUUAAUACCCUGGGCUAAUGACGGUACCGUAAGAAUAAGCACCGGCUAACUACGUGCCAGCAGCCGCCGUAA